GGUGGCCCUGUGGUAGGGUGCUUGUCUUGCAUGCAUGAGGCCCUGGGUUCGAUUCCUCAGCACCA
rfam:Dipodomys ordii contig_28850, whole genome shotgun sequence.